GACGUAGGGCGCGAGCGUUGUCCGGAUUUAUUGGGCGUAAAGAGCUCGUAGGCGGCUUGUUGCGUCAGCUGUGAAAACCCGCAGCUCAACUGUGGGCUUGCAGCUGAUACGGGCAGGCUUGAGUUCGGUAGGGGAGACUGGAAUUCCUGGUGUAGCGGUGAAAUGCGUAGAUAUCAAGAGGAACACCUGCGGCGAAGGCGGGUUGCUGGGCUGACACUGACGCUGAGGCGCGAAAGCUAGGGGAGCGAACGGG
rnacentral:rRNA from 1 species